UACGAAGGGGGCUAGCGUUGCUCGGAUUGACUGGGCGUAAAGGGCGCGUAGGCGGUUUGCACAGUCAGACGUGAAAUUCCUGGGCUCAACCUGGGGGCUGCGUUUGAUACGUGCAGGCUUGAGUUCGGAAGAGGGUCGUGGAAUUCCCAGUGUAGAGGUGAAAUUCGUAGAUAUUGGGAAGAACACCGGUGGCGAAGGCGGCGAUCUGGGUCGAUACUGACGCUGAGGUGCGAAAGCGUGGGGAGCAAACAGG
rnacentral:rRNA from 1 species